rnacentral:rRNA from 1 species
AUUGAACGCUGGCGGCAUGCCUUACACAUGCAAGUCGAACGGCAGCACGGGUUCUUGCACCUGGUGGCGAGUGGCGAACGGGUGAGUAAUACAUCGGAACAUGUCCUGUCGUGGGGGAUAGCCCGGCGAAAGCCGGAUUAAUACCGCAUACGAUUUUCGGGUGAAAGCGGGGGACCGCGUGGCCUCGGGCUGUUGGUUGGGCCGAUGGCUGAUUAGCUAGCUGGUGGGGUAAAGGCCUACCAAGGCGACGACCAGUAGGUGGUUUGAGAGGGGGACUAGCCACCCGGGGACUGAGACACGGCCCAGACUCCUACGGGAGGCAGCAGUGGGGAAUUUUGGACAAUGGGCGAAAGCCUGAUCCAGCAAUGCCGCGUGUGUGAAGAAGGCCUUCUGGUUGUAAAGCACUUUUGUCCGGAAAGAAAUCCUUGGCCCUAAUACGGUCGGGGGAUGACGGUACCGGAAGAAUAAGCACCGGCUAACUACGUG